GAUGAACGCCGGCGGUGUGCCUAAUACAUGCAAGUCGAACGCGUUGGCCCGAUUGAUUGAUGGUGCUUGCACCUGAUUGAUUUUGGUCGCCAACGAGUGGCGGACGGGUGAGUAACACGUAGGUAACCUGCCCAGAAGCGGGGGACAACAUUUGGAAACAGAUGCUAAUACCGCAUAACAACGUUGUUCGCAUGAACAACGCUUAAAAGAUGGCUUCUCGCUAUCACUUCUGGAUGGACCUGCGGUGCAUUAGCUUGUUGGUGGGGUAACGGCCUACCAAGGCGAUGAUGCAUAGCCGAGUUGAGAGACUGAUCGGCCACAAUGGGACUGAGACACGGCCCAUACUCCUACGGGAGGCAGCAGUAGGGAAUCUUCCACAAUGGGCGCAAGCCUGAUGGAGCAACACCGCGUGAGUGAAGAAGGGUUUCGGCUCGUAAAGCUCUGUUGUUAAAGAAGAACACGUAUGAGAUUAACUGUUCAUACGUUGACGGUAUUUAACCAGAAAGUCACGGCUAACUACGUGCCAGCAGCCGCGGUAAUACGUAGGUGGCAAGCGUUAUCCGGAUUUAUUGGGCGUAAAGAGAGUGCAGGCGGUUUUCUAAGUCUGAUGUGAAAGCCUUCGGCUUAACCGGAGAAGUGCAUCGGAAACUGGAUAACUUGAGUGCAGAAGAGGGUAGUGGAACUCCAUGUGUAGCGGUGGAAUGCGUAGAUAUAUGGAAGAACACCAGUGGCGAAGGCGGCUACCUGGUCUGCAACUGACGCUGAGACUCGAAAGCAUGGGUAGCGAACAGG
rnacentral:rRNA from 1 species